rnacentral:lncRNA from 1 species
UACUAAAUUCUGAAAUUAAUCCAUUAUUAUACGAAUCCUUUUUACUUUCUAAAAGUUUAGAUAAUUCAGGUUGCUAUACCUGGUUUACAUAUGUUAAAAAUAUUUUGAAAGAGGUAAAUAUGGACGCAUCCAUUCUUGAGGAAAACAAAAGAAAAAAUUACUCAAAGUUGUUAAAAAAAACCUUAAAACAUCAAUUCUUAAAUUUCUACACAAAUAUAUUUGAACAAAAAUUUGAAAAAA